CAUAUUAUACAAUAAAUUAUUUUUUCUUUUCCCAAAAAUAACAAAACAUAUACAAAUUUCAGUAUUCUCUUGCAGCAUCAUUUCAUCGUCGUCAAAUUCUAGUUCGAAAAGUCCUAAUAUAGCUGGUACACCAGUUCACCCAAAUAGACGUCACUAUCGUUGUCUUUGGUUAUAAUCAGUGCUGGUUGUGAGUGUAUUGUAUUAUGCUGUUCUGCGCUCAACUCACAAUUAGAUUGUUAUUUCUUAAACCGCUAUCUCCAAUUCUGAAAUUGUUGUUGGGUUGUGCUUCUCUAACACACACCAAAGCUCUCAGAUUUCUUACACAAAUUUCAAUCCCAACUUUACAUAGCUCUAAUUUUAGGUCAUAUUAUCUAUUUUCUCAUGCCUUUUUUGGACUUAUUUUCUGAUUUUAGGUUAUUCUUUGUAAUUAUAAAGUCAAUUGGGUCGAUUAUUUGAACUGUAUAUUGUUGUAGUGUUGAAGAAGAAAGAAAUCAACAAGAGCAGCUGAACAAAAAAGUUGUUCUUGAAUAUUUUUAAGGCUGAAAUAGAGAGGAUAUAAACUCAACAGAAUGACGAUGUUACUCAAUCAGUUGACACAUUUACAAAAGUUAUGGGGCAAGAUCAUCCAGGUCGAGUAAUAUUAUAUGAACGUGGAGUAACCAAGACUCUUUUGAAACAUAAAUAGGGAGAUUAUGUUCCCUCUUCACAAACUGUUGAUGAUGGAAAGAGAAUGCAACAAAGAAUGCAAGAAAAAUUCUAUGCAGAAAAGAUAUAAUGGAAAGAGAUGUUACAGUAAACAUCAUUGCACAACUUCAGCGUCUAAAUGCAGAGUUAACACUUGAUCCUUAUAUGCUUAGAUUCACUGUUGCUUCUUCCGUAGAUAGGGCUGCUCUUCAACUAAUCCAUCGUCCAUCUGUUGGCUGUAACAAUCAACUUUAGUUUUUUUUACUUCUUCUUAUAUUCUAUCUAGAACAACUCGAUCAUGAUUCGUGCACACCACUAUUUAUUGCUUGCUAGUUAGAACUAGCAAAAUUGGCCAAAAUGCCUAAGUAUUGAGAAGAAAUGAUCAUUUGCUUGCAUAUCCACCUGAGUAUUUAUUUGAUUA